GCUGAGCUCCAAGCUGAAUGCAGCUGUGUGAGUGACUCCAGCUGACACCACGAAAAGCAGAAGGACCACCUGGCCAACCUACAGAAAUAUAACAAAUUGCGCUCAUGUCACAGCCUUCAUCCUUCAUCCUUCCUCCCAGCCUUGUGUCAAGAGGACCACAGAUUUGCAUUUUACUUGGGGAAGGUUCGUGGCGGCAACGUCAAGGCCAGCAGCGUCAGGCAGACGUCUUCCUUGUCCUACCUCUACCUGGACUUUAACUGCCAAACGCAGAAGAUAGGCUCUGCUUUCCCUACUGCCUUUUCAUUGGGUCCAAAGAAAGGGCCUAGGCAGGGGCGGAGGCCAGCAGCCAGCUGAGGCUUUCAUGCAGGGUGAAAUGCAGCAGAGGCACAGCGGCUCUGCUUCGCCGCCGGUUUCUCACUCUCACAACAAAGAACUCAAAGUCACUGAGUGUUAGAGACUCUUCCAGAUGAGCCUGGCAAAAGAAGCUGGAGAAGAGCCCCGUAGCGUUCAUUGAAUCCCCGCCUCUCCUUAAGAACUUAAUUUUCACUUUCAGUAUCUCUCCUUCUUUCUGCACCUUCCCUUUUAUUAUAAAAUUCAGACUCCUACUGUGAGUGGAGCUGCUUAUUAUUAACUUCAUGACAAGUGAGUAAGUCGCUCUAUGGCACUAGGCCUCAGUUUGCACAUUUACAAAUGGGUUUGUAAUGCCCACUCUUGAGACUUGAUGUGAGGACUGAAACAAAUGUGUAACCCUGAGAGUCUUUGUAGAGGUACCUCACCACAGGGAGCAUGGGACUUCUUGGUCUCUAGCGAUUUUCAACACACUCUGCUUUUUAAAAUUCAUUGGGAAAGUUAGAACUGCAGAAUGUGUUUCCACUACCGAGGUCAAGGGGGAGGCAAAGCCACCCUCCCUGUUUGAGCUUCUCUUGAAGCUGUGACUUCAGCUUUCCAGUUAAACAUGGAAACUCAGGUCAUCCCAGAACCCCAUAUGACCCAGUGUCGGUGGCAGGGGAGGUUUCCAUGAAAAGGAAAACACUUUAACAGCCUGAUGCAAUUAAAACAAAUGCCAGUGUUUACUUGUAGCCCUCUAAGAAUAUUAAAAGAGAUCUGUUUGAUAACUAUCAGCUAGACUUUUUAAAAUUAACUUUCCCCUGCUUAUACUUUUUCUCUCACUCACAACACAGCUGCCUGAAGCUUCCUUUUGCCAGGACCCAUGCUAGACUCCCCCACUCAAAUCACAUCCAUAGCAAAUUUCGCUUUCUCUUUUUCCUUUGCUCUGUUUCUGCCUUUUCUUCUCUCCCAUGAGUCUGUACCCUCAUCUCCUUUGCUCGAGUUCUGUCUCUGUCUAUCCACUGUCCCAAAUUUGCAUCAUAAAAGCUUAUCACAGGAGAUUAGCUUAUGGCAAAGGUAGAAAUCUCGUUUGGAGGUUAAAGGGAGUACAAGCAAAGGAGAAACAGAGUGGACAAAAAUAGCAGUUUCUUAGUCAAUCAAGGCAGCGUGCAAGCCUGUGAAGAUUCACGUUAAUGAUUCUUGUGGCCCUCAGAUACGAUGGGGCACACAUCCCAGAGUGGUUACAGAUUCUAUUCCAGCUCACCCAGGGAGUGUAUAGAAAAACGAACA